rnacentral:tRNA from 1 species
UGAACGCAUACACGGCGAGGUGGUGCGCGGGCUCGCCGCCCGCGGCCGUCGGCGGCUCGCCGGGACGUUCCGCGCGGCGGUGUUCGGC